rnacentral:rRNA from 1 species
GACGAACGCUGGCGGCGUGCUUAACACAUGCAAGUCGAACGGAAAGGCCCUGCUUGCAGGGUACUCGAGUGGCGAACGGGUGAGUAACACGUGGGUGAUCUGCCCUGCACUUCGGGAUAAGCUUGGGAAACUGGGUCUAAUACCGGAUAGGAACCAUCUUUAGUGUGGUGGUUGGAAAGUUUUUUCGGUGUAGGAUGAGCUCGCGGCCUAUCAGCUUGUUGGUGGGGUAAUGGCCUACCAAGGCGGCGACGGGUAGCCGGCCUGAGAGGGUGUACGGCCACAUUGGGACUGAGAUACGGCCCAGACUCUUACGGGAGGCAGCAGUGGGGAAUAUUGCACAAUGGGCGCAAGCCUGAUGCAGCGACGCCGCGUGGGGGAUGAAGGCCUUCGGGUUGUAAACUCCUUUCGCUAGGGACGAAGCUUUUUGUGACGGUACCUAGAUAAGAAGCACCGGCUAACUACGUG